ACCCCGAUAGGCGAGGGGCAGGCGACUGUCCGUCUGGCGGGCGGUGGAGCUCCGGAAGAAACCUUCACCGCCGGACCAUCUCCCGUCCGGGGUA
rnacentral:tRNA from 1 species